GAUGAACGCUGGCGGCGUGCCUAAUACAUGCAAGUCGAGCGAACAGAUAAGGAGCUUGCUCCUUUGACGUUAGCGGCGGACGGGUGAGUAACACGUGGGUAACCUACCUAUAAGACUGGGAUAACUUCGGGAAACCGGAGCUAAUACCGGAUAACAUUUGGAACCGCAUGGUUCUAAAGUGAAAGAUGGUUUUGCUAUCACUUAUAGAUGGACCCGCGCCGUAUUAGCUAGUUGGUAAGGUAACGGCUUACCAAGGCAACGAUACGUAGCCGACCUGAGAGGGUGAUCGGCCACACUGGAACUGAGACACGGUCCAGACUCCUACGGGAGGCAGCAGUAGGGAAUCUUCCGCAAUGGGCGAAAGCCUGACGGAGCAACGCCGCGUGAGUGAUGAAGGGUUUCGGCUCGUAAAGCUCUGUUAUUAGGGAAGAACAGACGUGUAAGUAACUGUGCACGUCUUGACGGUACCUAAUCAGAAAGCAACGGCUAACUACGUG
rnacentral:rRNA from 1 species